rnacentral:rRNA from 1 species
AUUGAACGCUGGCGGCAGGCCUAACACAUGCAAGUCGAGCGGAGCGGCUGACGGGUGAGUAAUGCCUAGGAAUCUGCCUGGUCGUGCGGUAUAACGUCCGGAAACGGGCGCUAAUACCGCAUCCUAUCAGAUGAGCCUACGUGGGAUUAGCUAGUUGGUGGGGUAAAGGCCUACCAGGGCGACGAUCCGUAACUGGGCUGCGAGGAUGGUCAGUCACACUGGAACUGGGACACGGACCAGACUCCUACGGGAGGCAGCAGUGGGGAAUAGUGGACAAUGGGCGGAAGCAUGGUCCAGCCAUGCCGCGUGUGUGAAGAAGGUCUUGGGAGUGUGAAGAACUUUAAGUUGGGAGGCGUUACCCGCAGAAGAAGCACCGGCUAACUACGUGCCAGCAGCCGCGGUAAUUC